rnacentral:pre_miRNA from 7 species
GACCUGGGUUCAAAUCCUAAUACCCACAUGGUGUAAGACCCCCUUUCGGGGACCCCCACUCUAGUCUCGGGAGUGUGAGAGCACCCAAAAAACACGAGGACCC